GUCCAGUUAGCCUAGUGGUUAAGGCUAUAGAUCUCCAAUCCGGAGACGGCGGGUUCGAUUCCCGUUCCGGUCA
rnacentral:tRNA from 1 species